rnacentral:rRNA from 1 species
CCUACGGGAGGCAGCAGUGAGGAAUAUUGGUCAAUGGCCGGAAGGCUGAACCAGCCAAGCCGCGUGAAGGACGAAGGUGCCAAGCAUUGUAAACUUCUUUUGUCAAGGGACAAAAUCAGGCUCGAGAGCCUGACCGAGGGUACUUGAAGAAAAAGCAUCGGCUAACUCCGUGCCAGCAGCCGCGGUAAUGCUGAGGAUGCGAGCGUUAUCCGGUUUUAUUGGGUUUAAAGGGUGCGUAGGCGGGCUGGUAAGUCAGCGGUAAAAGCACGGGGCGCAACCCCGGCGAGCCGUGGAAACUGGCUGUCGUGAGAUGUCGAGAGGUAUGCGGAAUGCGCAGUGUAGCGGUGAAAUGCUUAGAUAUGGCGCAGAACUCCGAUUGCGAAGGCAGCAUACCGGCGGCGAUCUGACGCUGAGGCACGAAAGCGUGGGUAUCGAACAGGAUUAGAUACCCGGGUAGUC